CAGCAGCUGCCAUCACUGACAUACAGCACAGAAUGCAGAAGGAAUUAAAAAAAAACAAAACAACAAACCCUUCAGCUUUAUCUCAGUGCUCAGUUUCUCAGCACCACAGUUCAGUAUAUGAAUGUGCUGAUGUCUUACAGGAUGUCUGAGGUCUGGGCUUCAAAAGAAGAGUAUGCCCCUUGCUGGAGUUGAGACAUUAGAAAUUUUAGAAACUGAAAAAGCCCAUCUAGCUCAGCACUUCUGCUAUUUAUUUAGUUUUGGAGUUGUGAAGAGAGAAUUAGAUUCCUCCCAUCUCUAUUGUUUGGCCUGUGUAUUAAAAGGCAGAUACACAAGUAUUUAUUGGGAUGAUCUGGUUGUGCUGCCAAAGUGCAAAGGAAAAUGGGUAGAUGGGUGUUUUCUUCUGGUCUUCACCUUUAUGAAAAGCGGAGGCUGACAAGCAUCUGCAGGCUGCACGUUAAAAGAGCUGACAUUGAGAUUCCUGCUCCAACUAAUGCCAACAGUGUGCGAUAAAAUGAGGGGCCUUUUACACAGAGCUUCAGAAGAUAUAAAAUGCUAAAAGGUAUUGCCCUUCUCUUCCCUUAGCAUUUUUUUUUUAUUGCAGCAGGAAAAUCUUUGAAUGUCUGAGGAAAAAAAAAAAUACGACUGGUACACAAAUGAACAGAGAAUCUUAGAAAGUGGUUGAGUCUGCUACUUAUUGAUACCAAUAUUAAGGUUUAAAGAGAAAAAAAAAAAAAAAAAGGAAGGCUGUGAGGAAUAAUUGCAUGUGUUCAUGUCUAACUCACCGCUGGUCACAAGGUCGGUUCUUUGACUAAAUGCUGAAUAUCUAUGGUUGGGAAGAAAGCAUCCCUGUGUUCAUGGCGGGACUACAAAGACAAGUGACUAUGGAAGCAUUCUUACUUUGCUUGUUCUCCAUUGUGAAAAAGG
rnacentral:lncRNA from 1 species